ACCGGCUGCCUGACAGCAGCCGGUCUGCAGAAUUGCCUGACGACCAUAGCGUGCCGGUCCCACCCGAUCCCAUCCCGAACUCGGCAGUGAAACGGUUCCGCGCCGAUGGUAGUGUGGGGUCUCCCCAUGUGAGAGUAGGUCAUCGUCAGGC
rnacentral:rRNA from 1 species